rnacentral:misc_RNA from 1 species
GCUUAUUUCAGUGUGCGUCCUGAUUUAUUCUCCAUUUUUCCCCGUAUUUGGAACGAAUGUUUAUGAUUUGAUCUUGAUGUUUUGGUUUCAAAGCCUCCCCAGCUGAAUUUUGGUUCUAUGAAGAGUUGCUUUUGCAAAGAAAUUACUUGGAUAAAUUGACUGAUGGGCUGAAAAUGAGUUUUCACUUUUGGGUUAAUAUGGUUUCAAUAUACCGGUGAGCUGGAGCUAUGCUGUGGAAGUUUUUUUGUCUUCUUAAUCUGUAAACUUCAAUCCCUAGCGCCCUGUUUGUACAUACUGAUAAGUAGCUCUAUUAACCAACAAUUGUGAGUGUUCCAUUUUCAUGCCUUGUAAAAUUUAGCUAAUUGCGGGGCUGUAAUUUACCCUGUGUUUGGACCCUUAAUUAUGUGAGGAAAUUGGAGAGAAAUUAAAUAAG